GAUGAACGCUAGCGGCAGGCUUAACACAUGCAAGUCGAGGGGCAGCGGGAGUAGCAAUACUUGCCGGCGACCGGCGCAAGGGUGCGUAACGCGUGAGCAACAUGCCCGUAUCAGGGGGAUAAUCCAGGGAAACUUGGUCUAAUACCGCAUAAUAAUCAUUUGGGGCAUCUUGGAUGAUUUAAAAUUUCGAUGGAUACGGAUUGGCUCGCGUGACAUUAGCUGGAUGGUAGGGUAACGGCCUACCAUGGCUACGAUGUCUAGGGGUUCUGAGAGGAAGGUCCCCCACACUGGAACUGAGACACGGUCCAGACUCCUACGGGAGGCAGCAGUGAGGAAUAUUGGACAAUGGAUGGAAAUCUGAUCCAGCCAUGCCGCGUGCAGGAAGACGGCCCUAUGGGUUGUAAACUGCUUUUGUAUGGGAGCAAUAAGGGCUACGAGUAGCCUGAUGAGAGUACCAUACGAAUAAGGACCGGCUAACUCCGUG
rnacentral:rRNA from 1 species